AGGGUUUGAUCCUGGCUCAGAACGAACGCUGGCGGCGUGGUUGAUACAUGCAAGUCGAACGGGAAAAUUUUCUUCGGAAGAUGAGUACAGUGGCGGACGGGUGAGUAACGCGUAAUCAAUCUGCCCUCGAGACAGGGAUAGCCAUCCGAAAGGGUGGGUAAUACCAGAUAAGACCACAUCUUCGCAUGUUGAUGUGGUAAAAGGUGGGGAUCUUCGGACCUGCCACUCGGGGAUGAGAUUGCGUCCUAUUAGCUUGUUGGUGAGGUAACGGCUCACCAAGGCGAUGAUGGGUAGCCGGCCUGAGAGGGUGAACGGCCACACUGGAACUGAGACACGGUCCAGACUCCUACGGGAGGCAGCAGUGCUGAAUCAUUCGCCAAUGCGGGAAACCGUGACGGUGCGACGCCGCGUGAAGGAUGAAGGCCUUCGGGUUGUAAACUUCUGUCAGUUACUAGAAAACUAUAUUGGUUAAUACCCGAUAUACUGAUCGGUAUCAGAGGAAGCACAGGCUAAUUUCGUGCCAGCAGCCGCGGUAAUACGAAAUGUGCGAGCGUUGUUCGGAAUCACUGGGCAUAAAGGGUCUGUAGGCGGUCCUGUAAGUUACUGGUGAAAUCCCACGGCUCAACCGUGGAACUGCCAGUAAUACUGCAGGACUUGAGUAUGAAAGGGGCAAGUGGAAUUCCAGGUGUAGCGGUGGAAUGCGUAGAUAUCUGGGAGAACGCCAAAGGCGAAGGCAGCUUGCUGGGUCAUAACUGACGCUGAGAGACGAAAGCUAGGGGAGCAAACAGGAUUAGAUACCCUGGUAGUCCUAGCCGUAAACGAUGGGUACUGCACGAUGGGAGAGCUGAUUCUCUCGUUGUGGAAGCUAACGCGUUAAGUACCCCGCCUGGGGAGUAUGGUCGCAAGGCUAAAACUCAAAGGAAUUGACGGGGGCUCACACAAGCGGUGGAGCAUGUUGUUUAAUUCGAAGCAACGCGAAGAACCUUACCUGGACUUGACAUGUUAGGAUUAAUUCUAUGAAAGUAGAAGGAUUGCUGUUUACAGUGUAACUAACACAGGUGCUGCAUGGCUGUCGUCAGCUCGUGCCGUGAGGCGUCGGGUUAAGUCCCUUAACGAGCGAAACCCCUGUCGUAUGUUGCUACCAGGUUAUGCUGGGCACUCUUGCGAUACUGCCGGUGUUAAACCGGAGGAAGGCGGGGACGACGUCAAGUCAUCAUGGUCCUUACGUCCAGGGCUACAAACGUGCUACAAUGGCCAGUACAGAGAGACGCGAUACCGCGAGGUGGAGCAAAUCUUCAAAGCUGGCCCCAGUUCAGAUUGCAGGCUGCAAUUCGCCUGCAUGAAGUUGGAAUCGCUAGUAAUCGCGGAUCAGCCACGCCGCGGUGAAUACGUUCCUGAGCCUUGUACACACCGCCCGUCAAGCCACCCAAGUUGGAAGCGCCCGAAGCCCGGCACCAAUUGUCCGGUCGAAGGCGAGUCUGGUGAGGGGGACUAAGUCGUAACAAGGUAGCCGUAGGGGAACCUGCGGCUG
rnacentral:rRNA from 1 species